rnacentral:rRNA from 1 species
GUAACACGUGGGGACCUGCCCCAUAGUCUGGGAUACCACUUGGAAACAGGUCUAAUACCGGAUAAGAAAGCAGAUCGCAUGAUCAGCUUAUAAAAGGGGCGUAAGCUGUCGCUAUGGGAUGGCCCCGCGGUGCAUUAGCUAGUUGGUAAGGUAACGGCUUACCAAGGCAAUGAUGCAUAGCCGAGUUGAGAGACUGAUCGGCCACAUUGGGACUGAGACACGGCCCAAACUCCUACGGGAGGCAGCAGUAGGGAAUCUUCCACAAUGGACGCAAGUCUGAUGGAGCAACGCCGCGUGAGUGAAGAAGGUUUUCGGAUCGUAAAGCUCUGUUGUUGGUGAAGAAGGAUAGAGGCAGUAACUGGCCUUUAUUUGACGGUAAUCAACCAGAAAGUCACGGCUAACUACGUGCCAGCAGCCGCGGUAAUAGUAGGUGGCAAGCGUUGUCCGGAUUUAUUGGGCGUAAAGCGAGCGCGGCGGAAGAAUAAGUCUGAUGUGAAAGCCCUCGGCUUAACCGAGGAACUGCAUCGGAAACUGUUUUUCUUGAGUGCAGAAGAGGAGAGUGGAACUCCAUGUGUAGCGGGGAAUGCGUAGAUAUAUGGAAGAACACCAGUGGCGAAGGCGACUCUCUGGUCUGCAACUGACGCUGAGGCUCGAAAGCAUGGGUAGCGAACAGGAUUAGAUACCCUGGUAGUCCAUGCCGUAAACGAUGAGUGCUAAGUGUUGGGAGGUUUCGCCUCUCAGUGCUGCAGCUAACGCAUUAAGCACUCCGCCUGGGGAGUACGACCGAAGGUUGAAACUCAAAGGAAUUGACGGGGGCCCGCAAAGCGGUGGAGCAUGUGGUUUAAUUCGAAGCAACGCGAAGAACCUUACCAGGUCUUGACAUCUAGUGCCAUCCUAAGAGAUUAGGAGUUCCCUUCGGGGACGCUAAGACAGGUGGUGCAUGGCUGUCC